UUAUAAUUAAGAUUAAUUAAUAAGAGAUUAAAUGAAAACAUUAAAUUUAAAAAAUUUGGCGGUAUUUUAAAUAGUUAGAGGAAUUUAUUAAGUAAAUGAUAGUCCACGAUUAGAAUGUCUUAAUAUUAUUUUUAUGUAUUGUUGUAUAAAAAUUAUUUUAUAAAAAUAAUAAUUAAGAUAUUUAAUUUAAUUUUAAUUCAAAUCAAAAUGUAGAAUUAUUAAGAUAAAAUGAAUUACAAUUUAAUUUAAUAUUAGAGUUAUUUUUUUAAUUAGAAUAGUGAAAUAGGAUUUAAAAGUAAAUUUAAAUAAAUUUUUAAAUUGAAAUAUAAAUUAAAAUAUG
rnacentral:rRNA from 1 species